AAAGAAACUAACACAAAAACUAAGGACAAAUGAAUUUACCCCAUAAGAUUAACCUUAUUGGUGGAGUAGUACAAUGUUUCAAAGAGGAGGACACACAAAACCAGGAGGUGGAUUCUUUCCACAAGUUAUUAAAACUUGAAGAGCAAGAGGAAUGAAAAUGUUGAUAUUAAGAAGCUUAAGCCUUAUAGUUGUGCAUAGACAAACUGCUGCUUCAAGCUCUAGCAAUCCUUUAAUUACGGGGCAGCAAACAUUCUCAACUGGAUUCCCUAAUCCAACAUGCACUAAUCCUCCUAAUACAUCAACACAAGCCCCUAGCUUAAGGGCGUUGAUUGGACAAGUGGGUUGAGUAGUAGGUGGAGGAUUAAGCCCCGGAACACCACCACCACCACCUCCUCCUCCUCCUCCUCCACCGCCUCCGCCACCGCCGCCGCCUCCGCCACCACCAGAUGGAGGGCUAGGCGUGUAUGGUGGGUAACCUGAAGAAGGCGGCGGUGUUAUUACAGGAGGAGGUGUUAUUAUUACAGGAGGGUUUACUACAGGAGGAGGAUUAAUGACUAUUGGUGGCAAAACCACUGGUGGGUUUUUUGUUGAAGGUGGUUUUGGGUGGCCGCCGUGGUGUGGUGGGUGCUUGGUGCUUGGUGGGUUAGGAUGAGGAACUUUUGGGUGG
rnacentral:lncRNA from 1 species